UACGGAGGGUGCGAGCGUUGUCCGGAAUCAUUGGGCGUAAAGAGCGUGUAGGCGGCCGGGUAAGUCCGGUGUGAAAACUCGAGGCUUAACCUCGAGAUGUCAUCGGAAACUAUUCGGCUAGAGUCCGGAAGAGGAGAGUGGAAUUCCUGGUGUAGCGGUGAAAUGCGCAGAUAUCAGGAAGAACACCUAUGGCGAAAGCAGCUCUCUGGGACGGUACUGACGCUGAGACGCGAAAGCGUGGGGAGCGAACAGG
rnacentral:rRNA from 1 species